rnacentral:rRNA from 1 species
UGGGGAAUUUUGAACAAUGGGCGAAAGCCUGAUCCAGCCAUGCCGCGUGAGUGAAGAAGGCCUUCGGGUUGUAAAGCUCUUUUAGUCGGAAAGAAAGAGUUGCAAUGAAUAAUUGUGAUUUAUGACGGUACCGACAGAAAAAGCACCGGCUAACUACGUGCCAGCAGCCGCGGUAAUACGUAGGGUGCGAGCGUUAAUCGGAAUUACUGGGCGUAAAGGGUGCGCAGGCGGUCUUGCAAGUCAGAUGUGAAAGCCCCGGGCUUAACCUGGGAAUUGCGUUUGAAACUACAAGGCUAGAGUGCAGCAGAGGGGAGUGGAAUUCCAUGUGUAGCAGUGAAAUGCGUAGAGAUGUGGAAGAACACCGAUGGCGAAGGCAGCUCCCUGGGUUGACACUGACGCUCAUGCACGAAAGCGUGGGGAGCAAACA